ensembl:miRNA
GCUAGAGAAGGUAGAGGAGAUGGCGCAGGGGAUACGGACUAAGACUUGGGGGUUCCUGCAAUCUUCAGACCUGUGUCCUCCUCUUC